rnacentral:rRNA from 1 species
GGGUUGUGAGGUUAAGCGACUAAGCGUACACGGUGGAUGCCCUGGCAGUCAGAGGCGAUGAAGGACGUGCUAAUCUGCGAUAAGCGUCGGUAAGGUGAUAUGAACCGUUAUAACCGGCGAUUUCCGAAUGGGGAAACCCAGUGUGUUUCGACACACUAUCAUUAACUGAAUCCAUAGGUUAAUGAGGCGAACCGGGGGAACUGAAACAUCUAAGUACCCCGAGGAAAAGAAAUCAACCGAGAUUCCCCCAGUAGCGGCGAGCGAACGGGGAGGAGCCCAGAGCCUGAAUCAGUGUGUGUGUUAGUGGAAGCGUCUGGAAAGGCGCGCGAUACAGGGUGACAGCCCCGUACACAAAAAUGCACAUGCUGUGAGCUCGAUGAGUAGGGCGGGACACGUGGUAUCCUGUCUGAAUAUGGGGGGACCAUCCUCCAAGGCUAAAUACUCCUGACUGACCGAUAGUGAACCAGUACCGUGAGGGAAAGGCGAAAAGAACCCCGGCGAGGGGAGUGAAAAAGAACCUGAAACCGUGUACGUACAAGCAGUGGGAGCACGCUUAGGCGUGUGACUGCGUACCUUUUGUAUAAUGGGUCAGCGACUUAUAUUCUGUAGCAAGGUUAACCGAAUAGGGGAGCCGAAGGGAAACCGAGUCUUAACUGGGCGUUAAGUUGCAGGGUAUAGACCCGAAACCCGGUGAUCUAGCCAUGGGCAGGUUGAAGGUUGGGUAACACUAACUGGAGGACCGAACCGACUAAUGUUGAAAAAUUAGCGGAUGACUUGUGGCUGGGGGUGAAAGGCCAAUCAAACCGGGAGAUAGCUGGUUCUCCCCGAAAGCUAUUUAGGUAGCGCCUCGUGAAUUCAUCUCCGGGGGUAGAGCACUGUUUCGGCAAGGGGGUCAUCCCGACUUACCAACCCGAUGCAAACUGCGAAUACCGGAGAAUGUUAUCACGGGAGACACACGGCGGGUGCUAACGUCCGUCGUGAAGAGGGAAACAACCCAGACCGCCAGCUAAGGUCCCAAAGUCAUGGUUAAGUGGGAAACGAUGUGGGAAGGCCCAGACAGCCAGGAUGUUGGCUUAGAAGCAGCCAUCAUUUAAAGAAAGCGUAAUAGCUCACUGGUCGAGUCGGCCUGCGCGGAAGAUGUAACGGGGCUAAACCAUGCACCGAAGCUGCGGCAGCGACGCUUAUGCGUUGUUGGGUAGGGGAGCGUUCUGUAAGCCUGCGAAGGUGUGCUGUGAGGCAUGCUGGAGGUAUCAGAAGUGCGAAUGCUGACAUAAGUAACGAUAAAGCGGGUGAAAAGCCCGCUCGCCGGAAGACCAAGGGUUCCUGUCCAACGUUAAUCGGGGCAGGGUGAGUCGACCCCUAAGGCGAGGCCGAAAGGCGUAGUCGAUGGGAAACAGGUUAAUAUUCCUGUACUUGGUGUUACUGCGAAGGGGGGACGGAGAAGGCUAUGUUGGCCGGGCGACGGUUGUCCCGGUUUAAGCGUGUAGGCUGGUUUUCCAGGCAAAUCCGGAAAAUCAAGGCUGAGGCGUGAUGACGAGGCACUACGGUGCUGAAGCAACAAAUGCCCUGCUUCCAGGAAAAGCCUCUAAGCAUCAGGUAACAUCAAAUCGUACCCCAAACCGACACAGGUGGUCAGGUAGAGAAUACCAAGGCGCUUGAGAGAACUCGGGUGAAGGAACUAGGCAAAAUGGUGCCGUAACUUCGGGAGAAGGCACGCUGAUAUGUAGGUGAAGUCCCUCGCGGAUGGAGCUGAAAUCAGUCGAAGAUACCAGCUGGCUGCAACUGUUUAUUAAAAACACAGCACUGUGCAAACACGAAAGUGGACGUAUACGGUGUGACGCCUGCCCGGUGCCGGAAGGUUAAUUGAUGGGGUCAGCGCAAGCGAAGCUCUUGAUCGAAGCCCCGGUAAACGGCGGCCGUAACUAUAACGGUCCUAAGGUAGCGAAAUUCCUUGUCGGGUAAGUUCCGACCUGCACGAAUGGCGUAAUGAUGGCCAGGCUGUCUCCACCCGAGACUCAGUGAAAUUGAACUCGCUGUGAAGAUGCAGUGUACCCGCGGCAAGACGGAAAGACCCCGUGAACCUUUACUAUAGCUUGACACUGAACAUUGAGCCUUGAUGUGUAGGAUAGGUGGGAGGCUUGGAAGUGUGGACGCCAGUCUGCAUGGAGCCGACCUUGAAAUACCACCCUUUAAUGUUUGAUGUUCUAACGUUGACCCGUAAUCCGGGUUGCGGACAGUGUCUGGUGGGUAGUUUGACUGGGGCGGUCUCCUCCUAAAGAGUAACGGAGGAGCACGAAGGUUGGCUAAUCCUGGUCGGACAUCAGGAGGUUAGUGCAAUGGCAUAAGCCAGCUUGACUGCGAGCGUGACGGCGCGAGCAGGUGCGAAAGCAGGUCAUAGUGAUCCGGUGGUUCUGAAUGGAAGGGCCAUCGCUCAACGGAUAAAAGGUACUCCGGGGAUAACAGGCUGAUACCGCCCAAGAGUUCAUAUCGACGGCGGUGUUUGGCACCUCGAUGUCGGCUCAUCACAUCCUGGGGCUGAAGUAGGUCCCAAGGGUAUGGCUGUUCGCCAUUUAAAGUGGUACGCGAGCUGGGUUUAGAACGUCGUGAGACAGUUCGGUCCCUAUCUGCCGUGGGCGCUGGAGAACUGAGGGGGGCUGCUCCUAGUACGAGAGGACCGGAGUGGACGCAUCACUGGUGUUCGGGUUGUCAUGCCAAUGGCACUGCCCGGUAGCUAAAUGCGGAAGAGAUAAGUGCUGAAAGCAUCUAAGCACGAAACUUGCCCCGAGAUGAGUUCUCCCUGACUCCUUGAGAGUCCUGAAGGAACGUUGAAGACGACGACGUUGAUAGGCCGGGUGUGUAAGCGCAGCGAUGCGUUGAGCUAACCGGUACUAAUGAACCGUGAGGCUUAACCUUACAACGCCGAAG